rnacentral:lncRNA from 1 species
UAAUCUUAGGAUUGCAAUGCUCAUGAAGAUAUUCUAAGCCUCGGGCCGUUCCCAGGGCCACUCGUUUUCUAGUAGGCCAGUCCAGAACAGGUUCACCAGGUUUGAGUUCUGCAUCAGUAUUCACUUAGUAAAACAUCAAUGGUAAAAAAGCCAGAUUGUACACAUAGACCAAAAAAUAUGGAAAUCCAACCUACCAAAACACAUCAAAUAAAGUAUACAAAAAACAUAUUUAUAUUGUUAAUCAUUUAAUGUAUGUUAUUUAUGCUUAUUAUGUACAGGUUAUAAAGCUCAAUAUUUAAAAUAGCAUUAGUAUCCGUCAGCGUGAUGGCAGCGUUAUAGUGAUGAAACACAUGUGACACUUUUCACAUCUUGUUUUAUUUUUAAGUCCUCACAUAAAAGUAAUUUGUAACAAAAUAUUUUUCUUUUAAACAGACCACAUACAGAUAGAGUUAAAGACUCAAACUACACUUGCAUUCACAAAACAAGUGAAAACCUGCAAAAAUAUUUGCAAGCUAUAUUCACCCAGUGAAUUUCUAAAAUGUUUAAAAUAAUAAUAUGACUGAAACAAAAUAAGAACUUAUUGUGAUGAUAUUCAAUAAUGUGAAAUCUGAACGGCCAUACAGCUCCAGUUACAAAAGUAAAUAGUACUUUCUUUAUUGCAGAAAAUCAAAUUUAAUACCUAGCAUACCAGUGAUGCCAAAAAUGCUUUGUAACUUGUUACCUCGAAGUCGAUAGGCAACACUUAAGUUCUGCAUAAAGGGAUAAACUAAGAGGCGCUCCGUCGGGGUAGUACAAAACCCAAUCAACCGUAACAGGUUCUUAUGCACAGCUACACUUAUCAUCUCAACCUCACGCUGAAAGGUUGCAUCUCCCCCAGGACUUUCAUAAUCAGUUAACCUUUUGACAGCAACUUUGGUGUUAUCAGCAAGAACACCUUUAUAAACCGUUCCAGAGCCUCCCUG